rnacentral:rRNA from 1 species
AGCAUCGGAACGUACCCAGUAGUGGGGGGAUAGCCCGGCGAAAGCCGGAUUAAUACCGCAUACGACCUGAGGGUGAAAGCGGGGGACCGCAAGGCCUCGCGCUAUUGGAGCGGCCGAUGUCAGAUUAGGUAGUUGGUGGGGUAAAGGCCUACCAAGCCUGCGAUCUGUAGCUGGUCUGAGAGGGCGACCAGCCACACUGGGACUGAGACACGGCCCAG